rnacentral:lncRNA from 1 species
ACAACCCCGAGACGAUCAGUUCAAUUUCGCCCGUCACCAAUCCCCCCUCUCUCCCCUAGCUCUCCUCCCCCGUCAUCAAUCCAGGAAACCCUAUGUCUUCCUCCUUCCCUUCUCUCAUCGGCGGCAGCAGGAGCGGGUCUGCACGCGCGGCGAGGUAGAAGCCUGAUCUGAUGGUUUUCUUCAUGGGGCCUUCAUCGUUGGUAACUUCUUGUUGUUUCAUUCGCAGGCGAGAGCGGUCCGGGCGGAGGAGGAGGGGAGGCACGAGCGGGACG